GCUGAGCAGGUUGCCAUGGGGACUGAGGGCGGAGUCUGGAGCCACAAUUGACACCACCUGCAGCUCAUCAGCAGGCUCGUUAUCUGGCUCUACUCCCUGCUAUUUAGGGUCAAGCAGGAGCUUCAGUCUUUGCCAGAUUGUCAUUCUUUGCAGCAUGCCUAAGACCUUGAUCCCUCGGAUAACCACAGCACCCAGGAUAAGGACUAUUCCUCUUACCAAGCCGACUACCUGCCUGCAGCCAAACUCAUUUCACCACCACCAGAAACCAUCUCCUGGCUUACUCCUCCACCGUCAGUCUUCCUCUGGAAUACAGUAAGCCGCUGCCAUAGCAGACAUAACCCAGCACCCUCUCAGACCAACAUUAAUCCUCUGUCUUCUCAUAGGAAGAGCUUCCCGGACCUGGACCCAACCACUAACAUUUAUUAUAAAUAAACAUUAUUUGCGUC